AAAAAUAAAAGCUAAAAAAUAAGAAUAGUAAUUUUUACACUUUCUUUUCUUUAAUUACACUCUAUUUUAUGUCUUUAUUUGGUAUAAGAUUAUCAAAAUAUUCAAGUAUUUAUAUUAUCUAAACUAUGUUUUCUCAAAAUAUUCUAAAGGACAUUUGAGUAUUUUUCCCUAAUUAAAAAAAAUAAGUGGAAAGAAAAGAAGAAUAUAAAAUCAUUGCCUAAAUUAAUAAAAACAUGCUAAAAUGAAACUUUCAUGACUAAAGCUAUUAUUUAAAAAAUAUAAGACUUUGUUUGGAUAAGUGUGCCAUUGGAUACUUUUAUUAAAAAAAUAUUUGAAUUAUAUUUAUUUCAAUUAAUAUUUAUUUUGAAGAGAGAGAAGAGCGAUAUACGUGAAUUUGUCAAAUAAUAUUUAUUUUGGAGUUAUUAAAUUUUUUUUUAUUUUACCAAUGAAAUUCAUAGGGUAAUUUUUCUUAAUUUAAAAAUAUCUUGCUCUAUUCCCAUCGAAACAUACUUGACAAAUUUGGAAUGGAAUUUUAAAUUUUUUAAUUUUAAAUUCACAUAUACUUAAGAAUUCGUAAAAAAAAAAUGAAUGAGUGAACACGGAAUUGAUCCAAAAAUGGGCCCCAUCAUAGAAGAGUGCACAUUGACCAAGUUAUCAAUUUCGUAUUUUUAUUUUUAUUUUUUUUGAUUAAUCACAUAGUGUCCUAAAAAAAGCCUUUGGGCCCAUCCAGACUAAUCUCUGUGCCCUAAGCAGCUAGCCCUUCACACCUCAGGAUGUAAACACGGAUAUGCGACGCAGCCACCAGGAUUCGAACGCGAUACCUCCGAGUGUUAGCUCGUGUACCUGACGUCCGCCCGAAACGACUGCGCCUUGUGCCCGGGGGAAGAGGUGAGAAUCGAAUCCUGAACCGUAAGUCCUGAUAAGGCCGCGCUUAUCACUUUGGCUAAGCCUUGUAUUUUUUAUAUUUUAUUUUACGCUUACUAUCAGUUUGGUUAUAAAUAGGGAAUCCCAAAAUCUUACUAUAUUGUACAACUCGAUAAAAUGGGUUCCAGGAAGUUGCUUGUUUUGGAGAUCUUUCUCUUGACACUUAUCCUUCUCUUGGCUUUUGAAGUGGCUGCAAGGGAACUGCUUGACGUCACAGGUAAGUUUCAAUCUGGAUUCUUGCUUUUGGGAACUGCUUUGGCUUUAGGUUGGUCAGUCGUAUUGGCUUUUGGAUUCUAACCGUUCAUAUGUAGGAUUUUCUGAAAAAUUAUAUAACGAUUUCUGAAAAAACUUUAAUUCUAUAAAAAUUUAUUUUAAUAGAAUUCAAAUCAAUCGUUAAUAUUAAUUUAUAUCAAGAUAAAUAAGUUCAAAAUAGAACCCUAAAUGUUGAACUGAACUUAUCUACAAUAUGAACGGUUUGUGUCAUUAAAUGAACUCAAAAUAAAACUCAAAAUUUUUUGAGUUGCACCCAUACAACUUCAGAGAAGCCAGAUCCAUAUUAUAUAUAUGAACAUAAGAAUCUUGAUAUAUUAUCUUUUGGAAAGAGUUUUACUAGAGACAAUGAACAGUGGAUGGAUAAUGCAAAUUCACAUGUGGUGGUACCCACGUGUUUAUUAGCUCAUUGCCAAUGCACUGAACAAAAUAUAUAUUUUUUAUUUUUUUUAUUUUGAAAAUCAUGUCCAAUGUUCUCUUCUACUUUUUAUAUUUCGUGUUUGAUUGGCAACUAGAAAUGGUUAUAAGUUUAUAACACACAUAAUACUGUUCAUGCUUGGUAAUGUUAGAUUUUGUUAAAGUGUUUUUUGGAAAAGCAACCCUUGAAGUAUUUCUGAAAAUAUGCUUAAAUCGACCCUUCAAAAGAAAAAACAAAAGCAUUAAGUAAUUUUUUAAAGGUUUUCCAAAUAUUCACGUACAACGUUUUUCUAGAUAAAAAUUGACAAAAAGCUUCUAGAAAUUUUUCAAAACAUGCUCACUAUAUUCCAAAAGUGUGAAAUAUAAUAUAUCACACGAUUACACUCCCAUGGUAUAUUAUAUCCCCACCAGCAAACAUGGCCCCCUCUCAAUAUUCAUUCAAUGGCUAUGACCAAUCCUUUUUUUCUUAUCCCAAGCCAUAUCCUGAUAUCCUAACCCAAACAAACAUAGUAUAUGUAUUAUUACUUUUUNNNNNNNNNNNNNNNNNNNNNNNNNNNNNNNNNNNNNNNNNNNNNNNNNNNNNNNNNNNNNNNNNNNNNNNNNNNNNNNNNNNNNNNNNNNNNNNNNNNNAAUUCUUUACACUCUUUUAGUAUUUAAGGGAAAAGAUCUUUAAUAAAUUUGGCAGCCCAAUGCUGUAGCAUUAACAUCUAUCAUGUCCCUCUCUCCCAUCUUUAAAAUCUUUCAGUAUUUUAAAAAGACAUCUAUAUUAACCUUGUCAUUGGUCCGAAAAGUUGUGUUGCAUUAAAGCCUAUCAUGUCCUCUAUCUCCAUCUUUACAAUCUUUAGAAUUUCAGGAAAAAAUCCUUCAAUAAAUUUGGAAUUAGCCCAAUGUCGUGUAGCAUUAAAAUCUAUCAUGUCCCUCUCUCCCAACUUUAAAAUCUUUCGAUAUUUUAAAAACAUCCCUAUUAAAACUGGGCAUGGUUCAACAAAAAUCGGUGUAGCCAUUAAAUUCGGAUCAUGUUCACUUCUUCCCAUCUUUAUAAUCUUUUAGAUAUUUAAGGAAAGAUCCUUAAUAAAAUUGGCCAUUGGUCCAAAGUUGUGUUGCAUUAAAGCUAUCAUGCCCUUCUCUCCCAUCUUAACAAUCUUUUAGAUAUUUCAACGGAAAGAUCCUUAUUAAAUUUGGCAUUAGGCCCAAUGUCGUGUAGCAUUAAAAUCCUAUCAUGUCCCUCUCUCCCAUCUUUAAAAUAUUUUAAAUAUUUUAAGAAAACAUCCCUACUAAACUUGGCAUUGGUCCAAAAUCAUGUAGCAUUAAAUCCUAUCCUGUCACUUUCUCCCAUCUUUGAAAUCUCCCACGUAUUUUAUAGAAACAACCCUAAUAAACUUGGCAGUGAUUAGAAGAAGUCUGUAGCAUUAAAGUGUAUCAUAUCCAUCUCUUUUAAAGUAUAAUUUAUUUAUUUAUUUAUUUUAUUAAUUAAUUUAGUUAUCAAGUGUUACAUGGUGGGAGGUCUCAAAUUACUAUUUGUGGCUGAAGAUGGUACCUAGUGAUUCAAAACAUUGACCCAUGCCGAUGCCGUGAAUUGACUGCAAACGGAGGCCAAUUACCCACGUCCCACGUUAUCUUAGUCUUGGGACAUUUCUCAUCUAAACUAAAAAAUUGGAAUUUAAAUGGUGGAAAUUGUUUAUUAAAAAAAAUAAAUUUUUGGCCAAUUUUAUUAAAACGUUCAUUAAAAAAUAAAAGAUCUAGUAAAAAAGCCAAAAUUUUGGAGAUUUGUUAGGAAAAUAAUUUUGGGCCAAUUUUGAAGAAAAAUAAAAGAGUAAUCCUACAUCUUUUGAAGCCAGUCUAGUUGGAUAUGCUUAACUUAGUGAGGUGAUUAAUAUCUGAUAAUUUUUUUAUUCAAAAUCAUAAGAUUAAAUGGAAAAUUGACACCCAAAAUUCACUGCUUCAAUAUUAGGGAAGAAUGGUAAAAUAAAUUGCCACAUUGGUCCAUUUAUGAGGUCCUUUAGCGGGUUUACAAGCUUUCCCCUUGAAUUGGUCUGGGGCCCGAGGGGCAACCAUGUUUCAUGGAGGAGGGAGAGGACUGCACCUUUGUGUUACCAUUUGGAAAAAAAAAAAAAAUAUUAUUAUUUAUUUGAGAUUUUAAAAGCGUUCAAAAGGUGCUUACAAUGUGGCAAUGGGGUCCUUAUGAAAGGAACACGGUCUCUUACCCAACGGUCUGAAAUUUGUACCACGUAGUUGUGGCCUGGAAUGUUCGUGCGUCCCAUUUUUGGCACGAGCAUUCAGUGGCACUUUUCGCCAUGAUGGAGCAAACUGUUGACUGUUGAUCUGUACGAACGAAACUUCCGUCACCGAAAAAACUCAAUUAGGAUGGCUACGAAUAUAGAUGAAUCGAAUUAAUUAAACAAUUUUCAAUGUGGAAAAUUAAACAAACAAAUGAGAGAAUAAAAAACAAAAAUAAAAAAAAAAAUCAAAUUUUAUGUGUGUUCGACACUGUAUUAGGUACAGACUGUCAAACAAGUAAAGGUUCCACUAACAAACCAACGAUUGCCCCGAAGAAGAAGAGCCAAAGGAAAGAGAAAUGUUUGUUGAAAAACUCCUCUCCAAAGCCUCACCAAUAUCAACUAGCAAUUUUCCCCGACCCUAGGUAGACAACUCAAAACAAAAAACUCUCUCUCACAUAAAAAGAUUAAAGACUAACCAAAGUCCCCAAUUGGGGGGUCCAAGGGAAACUAAAAAAAAUUUCUUCAAAAACUUGAAGGUCAUCCAAGUCCCCAUAAAGAUCUUUCAAAGGAACUAGAAAUUUACCAAAGAUUAGAGAAUCUUCCAAAUUUAUAACCAAAAAAUCCUUCGUUAAAAACAAACAAUACCAAAAGUGUUUCUUACCAAACAAGCUCCUAAAACCAAUAAAGAAUUACAAAAAAAUAGAGUUUAGAAAUUCUAAAACGAGUUUAAUUAUUCAAAUCUUACCAAUCAAAACCAAUCUAAUUGUCAAUAUCUAAGUGUGAAGCUGAAAAGGCAAAAUUAUCUUACUUGUCUGAUUCUAAAUUAACAGAUGGUACCUUCUCUAGAUCAAAAUUGAAUUAUUGCUUUUGGGGUUUUCGCAAAACUGAGGAAAUUUUGUUCUAGUGGUUCUUUGUUUUUUUUUGGGACUUUACGUUCGAUUGAUAUUGAUAAUAUUUUCAUUGUGGUUUAGUGGUUUCUCUUAAUGGAGUAUAAAAUAAAAUUAUCGAUUUUAUUUUAUACACAUUUUUUUUUAAGAUACAUGUUUUUCUUUCUUUCAAGUACCAUUUUUUCUUUCUUCACUCGAUGCUUUUAUCGAUUUCGACGAGAAGUUACAAACAUUGCAUACAUUACUUUUUAGGCAACAUUUUUUAUGAAGUGUUAAUUUCGUUAGAAAGGAAAAGCUACUGAGCUGUAGUAGUUGUAUUUUUUAAUAUAUUGUAAUCAGAUGUUGCUAAAUAAAUGAUGCUUUAAAAUGUUUUGAGACAAAUGGUAUAUGAGAAGUUUUUAUCCGGAAAGAUUAGGUACGGAAAAAUCUAUUACUUUCUUGUAGUGAUUUCUUUUCUUUUUUAAGCAUUAUGUAGGGCUCCAUUUAAGAGUUCACUUAGGUCUCCAAAAACUUAGGACUUGCUCUCGAUUCAAUUCAUGUCUAAGUUAGUAAAUAAAGAGAUUACAUACACUGUUGGUUCACUGUAGAAACAAAUUGAAAAGUUUUCAUUUGUUCUGCACGAUCACUAUAUUUCAGGAGACAAACGUCUAAAAUAGUAAACACCUUAACGAUGGAAAAUUCUGUCUUUAAGGACAUAGUGCUAAACACUAGCCUUUGAUUAGUCUCCUUCGAAUUUCUCACUACAAUUUGUUUUAUACAAGGUAUAUCUUCUUCUGCAAUCAGUUAUUUGUGUUCAAACCACAUAAUCUGUUUCUGAUUUUGUUUCUAAAAGUAAUUGUUGUUUCCAAAAGAGUUUUUGGUUAUGUUUCUACAAAAUCAGAUUUUUUAAACAGUUUAGCUUCUGCAAAUUAAAUCUGUUUCUGUAAUUAUAUAUAUAUAUAUAUAUAUAUAUGUAUAUAUAUUUAUAUAUAUAUAUAUAUACACACACACACACAAAAAAAAAAGAAUUAAAAAGUAAAAGCUAAAAAUAAAAAUAGUAAUUUUCACACUUUUUUUUUCCUUCAAUUACACUCUAUUUUGUGUCUUUAUUUGGUAUAAGAUUAUCAAAAUACCCAAGUAUUUAUAUUUCUAAACUACUUUUCUCAAAAUAUUCUAAUUGCAUAGAAGGACAUUUAAGUAUUUUUGCCAAAUAAAAAAAAAGAAAUGGAAUUAGAGAAAAAAAGAAUGUAAAAAUCAUUACCUAAAUUAAUGAAAACAUGCUAAAAUGAAAAUUUUCUGAUGCCAUCUAUUACUUAAAAAAUAUAAUAUUCCGUUUGGAUAUGUGAAUUUCAAAUGCUAUUUAAUUUUUUUUAAAAGAAGAAUAUUUUAAUUACACGUAUUUCAAUUAACACUUAUAUUGGAAAAAGAGAGAGCGGAGUGAGAUGUGUGAAUUUGUCAAAUUACACUAAUUUUGAGUUAUUUAAAAUUCUUUUCAUUUACUAUUGAAAUUCAAAGGGUAAUUUUUCUCAAUCUUAAAUUUUUUUGCUCUAUUCGCCAUCAAAACAUAAUUUUUGCUCUAUUCACCAUCGAAACAUACUCGACGAAUUUGGAAGGAAAAUUUCAAAUUUUUUAUUUUUAAAGGGAAUCUAAGAUCCAUGAAGAAUGACUCAACGCGGAAUUGCUCUAGAAUGGUCCCCAUCAUAGAAGAGUGCACAUCAACCAAGUAAUCAAUUUCAUAUUUUUUAUUUUAUUUUACGGUUACUAUCAGUUUGGUUAUAAAUAGGGAAUCCCAAAAUCUUGUUAUUGUAUGACUAAGAGAAAAAUGGGUUCCAGGAAGUUGCUUGUUUUGGAGAUAUUUCUCUCGACUCUUAUACUUCUCUAUUCUUUUGAAGUGGCUGCAAGGGAACUUUCUUUUGGAGACGUCACACGUAAGUUUCAAUCUGGAUUCUUUCUUUUGGCAACUGCUUUGGGUCGGUUGGUCGGUCGUAUUAGAGUCUCUGGAAGUCAGUUAAGUAUAAAAAAAAAAAAAACUCAAAUUUGUUUUUAAUGGUUUAUAUUACAAACAUUGUGGCAAGAUAUUAUUCGCCUAACAUGCCAAGCAAGAAGCCCAUCAUAUCCAACAUGAUAUUAUACGAACUAGGCUUCUUUACGGAUCAUUUUUGGACUGUAAUUUAAGUAUUUUGAGUUAUUUCAAUGAUUCAAACCGUUUAUAUGUAAACCUCCUACAAAAUAUUAAUUCUGUAAAAAAUUAUUUUGAUUGGAUUCAAAUCAAUAGUUAAAUUUAUUUAAUCAAAAUAAGUGAACUCAAAAUUGAACCCCAAAUUUUGAACUGAACCUAUUUAUAAUAUGAACAAUUUGUAUCAUUAAAAUGAACUCAAAAUAAAAUCCGAAAUGCUUGAGUUGCAUCCGUACAACUUUAGAGAAGCCAGAUCUAUAUUAUAUAUACGAACAUAGGAACUUGAUAUAGUACUUUUUGGAAAGAGUUUUGGUGGAGACAAUGUAUAAUGGAUGAAAAAUGCAAAUUCAUAUGUGGUGGUACCUGCGUUUUUAUUGGCUCAUUACCAAUGCAUUAUACAAAAUGCAUUUCUUUUUCUUUUUUUUUUUGAAAAUCAUGACCAAUGUUCUCUUCUACUUUUUAUAUUUUGUGUUUCGUUGGCAACCAAAGAUCAAAAUUUCAUUUCGAGGGUUUGUUUCUGUUGGCAACGAAAACGUUUUGACUGUUUCGAUGGAAACAAAAUGAAUUUUUGUUCCUUGUUGGCAACUAAAAAUGGUUAUAUGUUUACAACACAUGAGAGAAAUGUUUCGACUGUUUCAAUGGAAAACAAACGAAAUUGUAUCCUGAUGACAACUAAAAAGGUUAUAUAUAUUUAUAACACAUGAGAGAAUACUGUGCAUGUUUGGUAAAACUUAAACAAGGCACGCCUCUUAGAUUUUGUUAAAAGAUUUUUGAAAAAGCAACCCUUGGAGUAUUUCUGAAAAUAUGCUUAAUUCCCCCCUCAGAAGCAAAAAACAAAAGCAUUGUUAAGUAAAUUUUUAAAGGUUUUUCCAACAUUCACGUACAAAUUUUUUCUAGAUUAAAAUUGACAAAAAGCUUCUAGAAAUUUUUUCAAACAUGCUAACUAUAUUCUAAAAAGUGUGAAAUAUAAUAUAUCACCCAAUUUACACUCUCAUAGUAUAUCAUAUCCCCACCGGCAAACAUGGUUACCUCUCAAUAUUCAUUCAAUGGCUAAGAUUAAUCCUUUUUUCCUUAUCCCAAGCCAUAUCCUAAGUUCUUAACCCAAACAAAUAUAGUAUAUAUAAUUUUACUUUUUAUUUAUCAUUUAUUUUAUUGCAUUACAUACAUAGUUAUCAGAACUGAACCGGCGAUUGAACUAAUUAAGGCAUUGGUUCAAUGAUUUACUGAUUCAACCGUGAUUCAACCGGUUAUAUAAUAAAUAAAUAUUUAAAUAAAAAUAAUUAUUAAAAAAUUAUAAUGGGUAAAAUAUACAUUUUUUAUGCAAUAAUCAACUAAUAUAAAUAAAUAUAUCAAUAACAAGGUACAAAAAUAUAUAAUUAAUAAAAUAUUUAAGAGGACUUUUUCGUCUUCAUUAAUAUUUUAACUAUUACUUAUUGAUAUUCUUUAUAUUUAAAAGAAAAACGUAAUCUUGCAAUAAUUGUAUAUUAGAUAAAAUGUGCAUUAUUUGUAUGAUCUUUUUUUUUUUAUUUUUUAUUACUAUACACUCCUAUUUUUUUAUCUUUAUUUUUAAUUUAGUUUAUGUUUUUCAUUGAAUUAAUUUGGAUAAACUAUCCGAUAUAUUUAUUAUAAUAAUUAUGUUUCUUUUUUUUUCCUUCUCUUGACUUUCAUUGAAGAUUUUACUUUUUUUAUCAAAAAUCCAUAAAAGACAUUUCUUUUUAAAAAAAAAAUGGUUUUAAAAAAUAAUAUUAUAAAUCUUGUACAAUUUUUAUUUUUUUUAAACUUUUUUAAAAACCGGUCGUUCACUAAAUCCGGCUGUUCACUAUUUUUUCAAAAAAAUCGGCCAUUCAUCCGGUUUCACAUGUAUUUUUGGUAAAUUAAUUAACUGUACUGAUUCAUGUCCGAUUUUCGAUUCAACCGGUUGAACUGACCGAUUCAUACGAUUCUGAUAACUAUGAUUACAUAUUCCUUACCUCUUGAAUCCCCUCAUUUUAUAUUCAGACAGUCAACAGACCCUAUCGUAUUCCCCUAAAUGCCAGCAAGAAGCCCAUCAUAAUAUAUUAUAUGGACUAGGAUUCUCUACAGAUCAUAUUUUCCCGUAUUGGGGUGAAAGGUUAAAUAUUUUUCAAUUAUUUUAAUAAUUAAAUCAUUUAUAUGUAGACAUCCUAUAAACUUUAAUCAUGUAAAAAACACACGUUUGAUAAAAUUUCAAUUAAAAGUUAUAUAAUUUAUAUCAUGAUAAAUUAGCCUCAAAAUAGAAACCAACCUAUCUUCCCUUUCUAAUGCUCAACCAGGACGAAAAUCCAAGCUGAGCUCUUCUCCCAAAUUUGAAGCAAGCAUAGGCAACCAAUCCAUCAUACUCAUGGUUCACUCCAUCAAACACUAAUCUCUCCAAGUCAAGGCCCCUGUCAUUGGAGGAGGAAUAAAUUGCAGCAAUGCAUGGCAAGUCAUUGCAAUAACCUCGCGUACACCGGCUUAAAAGUACGCCUCGAGCACUUAGAUUUCUCUGCCUUUCCACACUUCUUCGCCCGAUCUCAAGUGACCAACUCACCGGUACCAUCCCCCCAUCCGUAUGACUCCUUACAAAACUCCAAUACUUGAUCUCUCCACAAAUUCUCUCUCGGCACAAUACCACUUUCUGGUCUAAUCUUUCCAUGUUUUUGAGCUUGAUUUCUCACGAACAUGAUAACCGGUGAGCUUGAAAUUCCGCGUUGUUUCCAAAUGUGCCACGGAAUCAGCCAAAACCGGGCUAAUAGUCUCCAGAGAAUUCUCCUUCAAGAUACGAACCUUAGUGGCUAUAUUCCUUCGAAUUAGGUUUGGGGGGCAAAAAAUUUGACCUCUCAUUGCUUUUGAUGGAAGUCAUUUUUUCGGUCCAAUUCCUUCUUCUUUGGGCAAUUUAGUGGAGUUAACGGCUUUACGGCUAGCUGCAAACCUCUUUCUGGGAAAAUUCCUUGAGUCUUGUUCUUUAAGCAGUUAACCGUCUUCGCUUGUUUAUAACCGAUUUAUCCGGAUUCCGUCCCUCAAGAAAUGGAAACUGUCGUCAUUGGGAGUUCUUCAUCUGGCAGGAGAACAACUUCACUGGCCAAUUGCCUCAACAAUGUGUCAAAGUGGAAAACUUGUGAUUUUCAGUGCAGCUUAUACCAAUUUUACCGGUCCUAUCCCAAGGAGCUAAGAACUUGCUCAACUUAUUCAGGGUCCGGUUUGAAUAUAACCAACUAGCAUGGCAUUUGGAUCAAGAGUUCGUAGUUUAUCCAGUCUUACUUACCUGGACUUGAGCUACAACCAGCUGUCAAGGUAAAUACGCUUCAAUGGGGGCAAUGUCGUAAUUUGACACUGCUAACACUUGCAGGAAUAUAAUUGCAGGGGAAUCCCAAAUGAAUACUUCAGUUAACCAACUCCAAGUAGUCCUGACCUGUCCAUUCUAAUCACUUUAUGGGAAAAUACCCCACAAACUUGGAAAAUUGUCGGAAUUAGACUCCUUAAGCUUGCAGAACAAUAUUUUUUCAGGUCAAUGACCGUCAGGCAUCGGACAACUAUCCAUUGGAAAUUCUAGACCUGUCAUUUAACAAGUUAAGUGGACCAAUUCCAAUCAGAUUGGGUACUGUUUCAAGGCUACAUUUUUGAGUUGGAGCAAGAAUAAGCUUAAAUGCUUCCAUCCCAACCUGAGAUUGGUUAUCUUGUAACUUUGCAAACCUUUACUUGAUUUGAGUUACAAUCACUUACUGGAGAGAUACCACCACAAUUGGGAAAACUUCCUAGCCUAGGAAAAAUUGAACCUCUCCCAUAACAACUUUUUCAAUACCGUACCCAGUUCUUUAGGUGACAUGGUGAGCUUGGUGACCAUUGACCUGUCCUACAAUGAUCUGGAGGGUCCUCUUCCUAAUACCGACGCCUUUCGUUCGUUUUCCUCCACAAUCAUUCGCGAAUAACAAAGAUUUAUGUGGUAAAUCCAAGGAUUGAGGGCAUGUAACACAUCAUCUCCGAAAGUAACAAGCAAAAGAAAGAGAAUUCCUCUCCUGAUAAUUAUUAUCAUAACUUAUCGUUUCCCUUCUUGUUUUUCGUCUCCUUUGUGGUUGUUUUCUUGCACUUGUCACCGAGAUGCGAAAUGAAUGCUCUGGAAUUUGGGUCCAGGAAAGGAAAAAAAUCUCUUUUCAUUUGGAAUUUUAAUGGGAGAAUGAUUUACGAAGACAUAAUCUAUGCCACAAAGAUUUAAGGAUGAAUAUUGCAAUUGGGGUGGGAGGGUCAGCGAGAGUUUAUAAGGCUAUGUUACCGAGUGGACAGGUCGUGGCAGUGAAGCUAACUCUAGAACUGAAAGCAUGGAGUAUGGACAGAACUUUCGAAAAUGAGAUAAGAACUUUGACAGAAACAGGCACGAACAUUGUGAAACUUAUGCCUUUUGUUCUCAUGAAAGGCAACAUUUUUUGGUUAGCGAGUUCAUGGAACAAAGGGAGCUUGGCAAGUGUUCUAAUUGUCGAUAAAGAAGCACGGAGUUAGAUUGGUUGAAGAGGGUGGAAUAUUAUUCAAGGUGUUGGCUAAAUGCAUUGUAUUACCUGCAUCUAGUUGCACGCAGUUUUUUUUUUUUUUUUCUCCAAUAAUUUCACCGCACAUAUCGAGCAGAAUGUUUUGUUGAACUCAGAAUUGGAGGCCUCCCAUGUCUCAGAUUUUGGCACUGCUAGUUUUUUGAAGCGUGAAGCCUCAAUUUGGCUGCAGUUGCGGCACAUAUGAUACAUCGCGCAGGUGGACAUUUUAUUAGAUUUAUAUGUUUUUAGUUUCAUUUAAUUUAUCGAAACGAGAAAAAUAUCCUUUUAAUUUUAAUAGAAUUUGUGGACAAUAGACAGCUCAAAAGAGUUUUCACGAAUAAUUUUUAAAACUAGUUUGUCAAAGAAUGUAGUGCUAUGGAUAAUUAGUUAAUAGAGUUACACAUUGUUGUCUAUGAGUCUCGGGGCUUUAUUUCAAGCUUAAUUUGAAAUUUUAAUGAGUUUAAAAACUUGUUCAACCUAGUUGGGAUAUUAGUCAAUUCAAUUUGGAAACAAUCUCCUAAUAAGUCAAUUUGAGUAAAUCACAGGUUAUAGGUUGGGUUGUUUUAAUUUUAUCUAGGAUAGCUUGUAGACUAAGCUGAGAAGAGCUACGAGAAAACUGACUAUUCCAACAUAUAUUCAGCAUUGGUUGUUUAGGUAAUAGGUGAUUGCAAUUGGAUUUUAAUUAACGAGCUAAACACAAAUGAACUUGACUAUUUUGUUCAUUUUACACCCAAUGCUUGCACCUUCUUUGAAGAUCCAUUUCGUCAGUGCAGAAUUGGCAAUUUGAAUUUUAGCCUCGAGUUAAUGUUUUUUCCUUAUUUUUUUCAUUCCUUUUGCUCUCAGAUUGUCGUAUACAAUUGCGGUGACAGAAAAAAUUCGAUGUGUAGCUUUGGGGUCAUUGACACUUGAGUUUUGAAGGAAUGGGCCUCAUCCAGGGGAGCCUUAUUUCCACCCCUAACUCUUAGUGGAUCAAUGCAUUCAACUUGAAGAUGUGUUUAGAUCCUCGCCUCUCUCCUCCUACCAAAAAGAUUGGCACAUGAACUCACCCCCAUUGUCAAUCUUGCAAUAUGGUGCUUGCGUGCUGAUCCACGUUCUAGGCCUUCCAAGAGCUGCCUUAAACUCAAGGCUUGAAAUCAAGGCUGGUUAUGACUAGAGAAAUAUAGCGUGUAUGAGAAUGUAACUAUGUAUGUAUUUGAAUAUCUAAGAAUCACAGCACCAAAAGAAAAAUGUGUAACUAUGCUAUUAAUGGGAUGUUGGUGUUAUUCAAUCCUUUGAUUGUGUGAUUUUAUUCAAUCUCCACCUAUAAAUAGAUAUGUAUUUUAUAUAUUAGACAUAUGAUGUAAUAAAAUGUGAUUAUCAACGAGAAAAAGAGUCCUUAUGGAAUUUGUGCUCAUAGGUAAAUGUUGAAAUAAAGGUUUAUUUGAGUUUUUAUGAUGAUUACAAAUGUUAAUAAUAAGUCAAGUCUAAAACCAUGGUUGAAAAUCACAUUAAAUAACUUAGAUAUACAAGGACCAAAUCAGUUAGUUCAUUUCCACAAAGACAAACAACAGUGGUCUAAAACAAUCUUACAUGUGAGAAAAGAAAGAUGUUGAGCUCUUUACAAGUCACAUUCAACGUCAUUGUGCAUACAAAAGAGGUAGAAAAGAUAAACCAACUCUCAAACUCAAAAUGGAUAGUUAACGGACUUAACUGAUAAAAUGACAUAAUACAAACUGCUAUUGUCACAAGUUCGAUCGACCGAACUUCAUCAAGUCAUCUCUUAAUAGAUAUGAUCAUUGAAAGCAUAGUUUAAAUACGACUGAAGUUCACAUUUGGUCGACCGAAGUUGAAAGAUGCACAACCGAAGUUGAAAUAGUGAACAAGGAUUCUCAUUGGAAUAACAGUUAAGACACGACCGAAGUUUACAUUUGGUCGAUCGAAGUGUCGACCAAAGUAUGUAAAUCCAAAAUAGAGCAACAUAAGUGAUCUCUGGAAUUGAAGAACAGUGUCGACUGAAUUUCAAGUUCGGUCGAGCGAAAGUGGAAAAGCCCUCGAUCGAAGUUUUAAAUUCCUCAGCAAACAAAGUAUGCAAGCCAUUGGAAUUUCUCUCAUCUCCUUUACAUUACUUAUAUACUUGCUAUUACUAGGAAUGCACUGUUUGUAUAAGUUUUAAAUAAGAAAUUUUAAUUGGCUAUUAAUCCUAAGCAAACCCACUUCACCACCUCAUAAUGUAUUUUGAGUUUUUAAUAAACGAACUUUGAUAUUUGAAGAAUUCAUUCAUAUAGUAUUUGAUGAAUUUAAUGAUCUAUUCUUCAAAAUUGCUUCAAGGAAUGCAGGAAUCGAAGAAAGCAUGGAAAAUUAAAAUUACUCAAGAAAAUUAAGAGAUUUAAGUAGAAGCCAGUGAGGACAUACAACUAGAAGUUGUCCUACCUCAGCUAGAAAAUCAAAAACAAGAUGGUGAAAGUUUAAAUCUUCCAAAAGAAUAGAGAUUCGUUCACAACCAUCCAACAACUCUCAUUAUUGGCAAUCCAUCAAGAGAGAUAACUACUAAAAACUCUAUAAGAAAUAUUUAUAAAAAUCUUGCAUUCUUAUCACUAAUAGAACCUAAAAUUUUUCAUAAAGCCGAAUUUGAUGAAUAUUGGCUUUUACCAAUGCAAGAAGAACUUAAUUAAUUUAAAAUAAAUAAACUUUGGAUACUAGUACCUGGACCAAUCAAUCACCCCAUAAUAGGUACUAAAUGAGAGUUUAGAAACAAACUAGAUGAAUCUGGGAUCAUUGUUAGAAAUAAAGUUAGACUCAUAGUGUAAGGUUCCAAUUUGUUUUUUAAAUACAUGACGUAAUUAGGGCACACAUGUGAUGUCAUCACACUACAAGUAUACACACACACACACACACACACACAUAUAUAUAUAUAUUUAUUUAUAUAUGUGUCUUUAUAUAAGUAUAUUUAUAUUAGAAGAUAAAGUUGAAUUGUUUUAUUUGGGCUUGUAAGUGGAGCGUGAGGAGCGUGUAAAUGGCUUAACCACAGAUGGAUUUUGAUUUUGAUUUAUUGAUGGGAUAAACUAAGCCCAAGGGCCUAAGGAGGGCAUUUGUGUUAUUUCAUUUUCGUGACCUAACGUAAAUAAUCUUCCCAAUAUUUGUGUUUAGAUUGUUUAUUUUUUUCUCUUCUUCUUCCUCUUCUUUCUUUCCUUCUCUCUUUCUAGAGUUGUGAGCAUUUGAGCUUAGAAUCUAGGUUAUGAGGUGUGAUUUGAGUGGUGAUCAUUUGGAGAAACAUCUACUACUUCGACGGAGCUUUAUUUUGACACUAGAAGAUUUGAGAUUGGAGGAAUUCAGAAUUUGGCAUCACUAUUAAUUGUAGAUCUUUUUUGUUGCUUGGAUUUGAGGUAAAAGGUUUUUUUUUUGUGGGGGUUUUAAUCUUAGAUUUAUUGUUAUAGGCUUGAAUAAAGUCCUAUUGCUGAUUUUGAGUAUUGAACUUGAAAUGAAAACUGGUUUGUUAUGGAAAUUGUAGGUUUAUUGUUGGAAUUUUUCAUUGGAUUAUUAUAAAUGGCUUAUAUAAGCCUAUAUUUUAUAAGAUUUUUAUUUUUAGUGUUUAAACUAUAAAUGAAAGAUUUGGUUAUAUAAAAAAAGUUGGAUUCCGUAGAUCAAGUGUCGACACGUGUUGUUUUCAAGUGUCAACACCUGACGAAGAAGAAAGAAAAUUUGACUAUUGGUCCCAGGUAUCGACAUUUGAAACUAGUGUCGAUACUUUUGAAUAGUAAACUUAAAAUUUUGACUUCAACCUAAGGGUUGUCGACACUUUUGAAUAGUAAUAAACAAUUGGAGUUUUUCCUAGUUUUACCUUGAGUAUGAUGAUAUUUUGUAUAAUAUAUUGUUGCAUUGAAAUUUUUGAUAAUACAUGUGCGUUGCGGGAUUUGAAUAAUGUGAUUUGGGGGGGGGGGUACUUAAAAUUGGUGACAUUUUAUAUGAUUGAGUAUGAUAAUUGUUUCAGAACAAAAUAUGAGAAUGAUUUCAAUAAUAACUUAUUAUUAUUGACGAUUUUAAAUGCUUGUAGAGUAUGUUGUUGCAUUUAAAGUUUGAUAUAUAACAUGAACGUAUGAUUGAACUUGUGAAAAAUAUAAAACUUAUAGGUGCAUGGAGAUUUAAAAAUAGUUUGGGAAUGAUACGUUAGGAUGUAUCAAAAAUUAGAUGACAACGAUACAGAGGAAAUGUCAUAGCUCACGAUGAAAGCCCAGGAAGUUGACAAAAUAAAAGUUCUAGAUCGCAACGAUACAGAGGGAAUGUCAUAGUGAAAGCCCGAACAGUUGAUAAAAUAAAAGUCCUAGAUGUCAACAAUACGGAGGGAAUGUCAUAACCCACGAUGAAAGCCCGCGAAGUUAACGAAUGUUAUCUCAUGUACUUAGUGCAUAAUGAGGUUGGUUAUAUAUUAACCUAAGAAUUGAAUUGAAUUUUUGAGAAGACUCGGGAACACGGGAAAAAUGUUGGAUGUGAAAAAUCAUGGAUUUGAAUCAAAAGUAUAUUUUGAUAUGAAUGAAAAUAUAUUUUGUUGCUCAUAUUUUCAUUGUAGAGCUAUAUAUCACAGUUUUUGGGCUUGAGACAUAAGUACCUACUAAUUGUUAAAUCCCUUUUCAAGCAGUGGUUAACUCACCUUACUAUACAAUAAAUUUUAGAUACCGAGGGUUAUCUUGAGUCGUAAAGCAUUUGGAUUGUUCGUAUAUUGUUAUUUUAUUUGUGCAUAUAUAACAUGUAUUUUUGGGAAUUGUAAUUAUUCUUAUUGGCCCGAGUGUGGCAUUGUCCAUUAAAAUAUCACUUCUCGUUUGUAGUUGAUAGUUUAUGGAGAGCUGGUCCUACGUGUUAGGGAUAGAGGUCCCAUACUCUGAUGUGUAAAACUAGUGUAUUGCCAGACUGUUUCUUUAGGUUUGACUUUUCAUACAUAUUGAGUUAAUUUGCUUAUGUGGUCGAUCUAGGCUGUGACCGGCGGCAUACCUAUAGCACGAGGGGUAUCGUCACAAGGAAUGAAUAUAUUUGAUAAUUCAUUUCACGAUCCUCCCCGAUCGCUAAAUAAAUUACGGAUAAUAUUGAAUGGCUACUAGAUUGCAUCUGCUGCUAUAUGAACUUCAUAACGUAUAACCUGUAAAUUGGUCUAUAAAUAUGUCUGUGUGGUUUUGGGGAAUGUAUCCAUUACCUUGCGGAAGGUGUAUCUGUUUGCACCAACUUCCAGGCUUUUUGACGAAUCAGGAAUUUCCGAACCACGUAUAUAGCUUUUUAAAGCCUCUAUGAAUUAAAGAAAACUCCAAGGCUUGGUGUGAAAGACUAAGUGAGUUUUUUAAUGAAAUGAUUUUAUUCAAGAAAAAACAAAGUAAAGCCUUAUUCUUACAAAUUAAAAAUAAAGGACAUACUUAUUGGGCAAAUAAUGUAGAUGACAUUAUAUUUGGUGCUACUAUGAUAUUAUGUGCAAGAUUUUACAUAGUGUGCGCGAGUUCAACUUCUUUCCUUAACUACAAAAUCAAGCAUCAAGUGGAUAAAUUAUACAAACCAACCAAAAUAUAAUAAAUGAUUGAUCAAAUGUUUCAACCAUCAGCAUAUGAGAGCAUUAGCUACCCCCGAUUAGCACAUCUAUAACUGACAAGACACAACGCUAAAAACUGAGAUGAAAAACUCUAUUGAGGUAUCAUUGGAUCUCUACUUAUUUAACUGAAGUAGACCCGAUAUCCAUGCUUAGUGUAAUGCAUAUGUGCUAGAUUUCAAUCAUGGCCCUAAAGGAAUCACAUCUAUUGGCCAUCAAUCUAUUUAAAUAUGUUAUAGAUAUGCAAAAGCUAGUAUAUUUUAUCUAAGAGGAUUUGCCUUUGAUUUGAAGGAUAAUCAGGACAGACUAUGGCGGUAUGCAAAAGUAGAACAAAAAAGCACAAAUGGGACUUUUUAAUUUCUAGGACAAUCCCUAAUUUCUUAUAUUAGCAAGAAACAAAAUUCCAUCAAACUAUUAACCGCCAUGCUGAUAGUGGCCGCCAAAAGUUGUUGUGCUCAAUUCUUGUAGAUAAAAACAAAUAAAUGGGGGAAUAUAAUUUAUAUUUUGAUUAUAUUUCAAUCAAUUGUGAUGAUACAAGUGCUAUAAUGUUGUCUAAGAAUCCCAUAUAACAUUCUAGAACAAAGCACAAUGAGAUUCGAUAUCAUUUUCUAAGAGAUCACAUCCAAAAAAGGAAUAUUGAACUUAUAUAUAUGCACACCGAUAAGCAAUAGGCAGAUAUUUUUAUAAAAUCACUUGAUAAGAAAGAUUUUAUUUCAUGAGACGUGAACUUAAUAUGUCUCAACCAAUGUGAAUAUAUUUUGAUUUCUUAAUUAAAUUCAUAAUACUUGAGUUAGUAGGAAUUGAGAAAGAAUAGUUUAAAUCAAAAUUUAUUCUAUAUGAAUAAAUGUUAUAUUUGAUCUAAUAUAAGUUUAUUGAUCGACAAAAAUGUGCAUAGAAGUCUCAAAUUUUGAGAUACAUGAAAUUGAUUCAUAGAAUUAUAUUUUAUAGUUGUUUUAUGUAAGUGUGACUUGUGUGAAGAAAAAAAAUGAGCAGUAAGAUCAAACUUAAGUCAAAAUUCCUUACUGUCAAAUUUUGCAGAUAUAGUAGGAACUUCAUUUGAUCGAACUUGAAGUUUGGUUGAUCGAAGUUGCUAAAUUAAAAGGUCAUGUAUACAUUAAAAAGAACAUUAAUUGAGUCCUAGAAACCCUAUUUCUCUUAAAUACUAAUAUCUUAUAAACACUUAUCUAUUACUCUCUCUCUUUACCUCACUAAAGAAAACACAACCCAUACAAUUCUCUCAAAAUGUUUCAUCAAAUUAGUGUUCUUCAACUUCCAAUUUUCCUGAUUCACUCAACCUCUUGGAAGUUCGAUCGACAAAUCGCAAAAAUAUUGUUGACCGAAUUCACAACUUUGAUCUACUGAAGUAGCAGAAACUACGGGAUAAGAGGGAGGGAUAGAGUUUCAAAUGUUUUCAAGCUUCAAUUUCUUACCCUUUUUAGCUUCUAUCAGAUUCCUCGAGGACAUCUAUCUCUUUUAUCUCAUUAUAAAUAAACCCUAUACCUAUUCCUUAUCAUCAUAUCAAAAUCUCUCAAACCCUAGAUCAAAAGUCUAUGAUUUUUCAGACCAUGAUGCAUCCGAGAACCAAGCACGCAUCGAACGAUCCAAGAGGUGAGGAUACCAAUCCUAAACCUGAAAUGGAGUUCAACCCACAACUAUUCAAGAACAGGAAAAUCCAAAAGACAUGGCUAUCCGAGUUCAAAGAAAGGCCAAUCAUCACGGGAAGGAAAUUUAAGAAAAAUUUCCCACUCAAGUACUACAAGAAAAUGUUGGUGCCAUUGGAACCUCUUGAUUGGAAUGGAUGGCAUCCUCUUCCAACGGACAUGUACUCAAACUUGGUAAGGGUUUUCUACUGCAACUGAGAAGUAGGAAACCUAGAUAAUAUUGUGUACACAAUUGACUCAAAUGUUAGAGGGAAAUAUAUAGUCCUCAAUCCCACGAUCUUAUCUGAGAUCACAGGGAUUGUUAAUGCUAGGGACUACAUCUUUUUCAACAAGUCAAGCCAACUUGAUCAAUAUGUGAGUUAAAAACAUAUGAAUAAAAUGAUCUCCAUAAAUGGAAUAUUAGAAGCCACACAAACCAAGGAUAUGAUAAAGGAAUUCAGACUAUUCCAUACAUCACUUACAAUAUAAUUUCUAAGAAGAGAUAUUAUAAUCAAGUGACAACUACGAUAGAAGAGCCUCAUAAUCUAAACUAUAUAAUUCUAAAUGAGAUUGCUAAUGUGAGAAACCAUAGUAGUCGAGCCCUACAUUUUGGUGCUCUCUUGACUAAAAUUUUCAAACACUUUAGAGUCAAGUUUAACAACCAAAUCAAUCAAUAUAUAGGUGGACGUUUUCCUAAACAAAUGAUAAAAAGAGAGACAAGUGUGUUCUCCUCCGAUAAGGAAGAAGAAGAAAGAAGUCACAGUGAUAUGGAGGUUGCAGGAAACUUUGAGGAUCUUCCCCCACAAACCGAGGAAACUUAUGAGGAACUAAGCACUCAAGUGUUCCAACUCCAAAUACAAGAAAAGGAAACGAUGCAGUGGGAGAAUCUUAUGCAAGAAAGGCUUUCAUCGCAAUACGUGCAUUCGACAUGAUUCUUGGAGUACUUUGGAAAGCUCAAUGCCAUAAUGAAACGCGUGGAGCAGCGCCAAGAGAAGUAAGUAGAAUAUUUUGAGCAAAUAGAGUAACGCCAAGAGAAGAAGGAAAGAUACAUUGAGAGGCUCGGUGACUUGUACGAGAACUUGUAUGAGCAGCAAAUCAACUUCAAUAAGCAAUACAACGAUAGGAUGACCAACAUGGAAACUCAGCUUUAGUAUCUCUAGUUCACAACUCAUCCUCCAGCUGAUUUUCCUCUUCCUCCUCCUCCUACACCAUUCGAUGCCCCUAGCUCUUCAUACCGGCCUUCUUGACCUGGACCUAUUGAUGAUUCCCUGAAGGGGGAGAAGAUUUUAGUUUUUUGAUUUAAUUUUUUUAAACAAAUUUCUGAUCAUUUAAAAUUUUUGUUUUAAAAGAAUGUGGUUUGUUUUUUAAUCUAUCUUAGUGUUUGAUAUGCUCCUUUUACAUGCCAUGUUGCUGUGAGUGUGGAUACAUA
rnacentral:lncRNA from 1 species